rnacentral:rRNA from 1 species
UGGGGAAUUUUGGACAAUGGGGGAAACCCUGAUCCAGCCAUCCCGCGUGUGCGAUGAAGGCCUUCGGGUUGUAAAGCACUUUUGGCAGGAAAGAAACGUCAUGGGUUAAUACCCCGUGAAACUGACGGUACCUGCAGAAUAAGCACCGGCUAACUACGUGCCAGCAGCCGCGGUAAUACGUAGGGUGCAAGCGUUAAUCGGAAUUACUGGGCGUAAAGCGUGCGCAGGCGGUUCGGAAAGAAAGAUGUGAAAUCCCAGAGCUCAACUUUGGAACUGCAUUUAACUACCGGGCUAGAGUGUGUCAGAGGGAGGUGGAAUUCCGCGUGUAGCAGUGAAAUGCGUAUAUAUGCGGAGGAACACCGAUGGCGAAGGCAGCCUCCUGGGAUAACACUGACGCUCAUGCACGAAAGCGUGGGGAGCAAACAGG